CAGGCGUGAGCCACCACACCCAUCCUCACAUUACUUUCAUGAUGGUUAUCUUCUAAGAUUUCCAUUAUAAAAUACAGAGUGUGGUGAGCAUUCUUGUACAUACAUCUUACAUACUUGUGCAAAUAUAUAUGUAGGUUAAAUUCUAAGAUGUGGAAUUGCAAAGUUUGUAAAGUAUGUGUAGUUUUCAUUUGAUAAACUUAAAAAAUCAAUAUCAAAAUUAAAGUCAUAAUUUUAUAUUGAUAAGGCCCUGGUGAAUUUAUAAAAUCAAACUUAUUUUUCUAGGUCCUAGGCCUACUUACAAGCCUCCAGUCUCAAAUUAUCCAGGAUAUCCUAAACCUGAGGAAGGAAUACUUGACAGUUUGGAUGUUUGGGUCAUUGCUGUGAUUGUUAUUGCCAUAGAUAUCUUCAAAGGAGGAAGAAGAAAGGCUCAUACCUAACUGAUGAGACCCACAGAGAAGUAAAAUUUACUUCUCUCUGAGAAGGAGAGAUGAGAGAAAGGUUUGCUUUUAUCAUUAAAAGGAAAGCAGAUGGUGGAGCUGAAUAUGCCACUUACCAGACUAAAUCAACCACUCCAGCAGAGCAGAGAGGCUGAAUGGAUUCCACAGCCUGGUUUGCCAGUUCAUCUUUUGACUCUAUUAAAGUCUUCAAUAGUUGUUAUUCUGUAGUUUCACUCUCAUGAGUGCAACUGUGGCUUAGCUAAUAUUGCAAUGUGGCUUGAAUGUAGGUAGCAUCCUUUGAUGCUUCUUUGAAACUUGUAUGAAUUUGGGUAUGAACAGAUUGCCUGUUUUCCCUUAAAUAACACUUAGAUUUAUUGGACCAGUCAGCACAGCAUGCCUGGUUGUAUUAAAGCAGGGAUAUGCUGUAUUUUAUAAAA
rnacentral:sRNA from 1 species